UUUCAGAAGAUUUAUUUAUACUAUCAAUGCAUGUUUUAAAAUGCUGUUGUUUGAGUUGUAAGUAAAUAAUGAAAAAGGCAUUUUACGUGGCAUUGAAUCAGUCUGUUUCAGUUGUUCACCCUGGAUUUCUUUCAUUUAGUCAUCUUCUUCUUACUGCAAAGGAGGACAUUUGUUCAUUACUUUGCCUAAAUAAUACUAACAUACUAGCAGAUGGUCACUUUCCAACUGGUUUGUCUUCAGAAAAGAAAUUAAAAUAUUAUAGUGCCAGAGAGAGAUAUUAUAAUGCGUCCCUGUCAAAUUAACAGGUCAUUCUUUUCAACUGUUUUAUAACUGCAAAAUGGCUCAAUGUCACAUAAAAGGCUAAAAGCUAGAGUAAAUGGUAUCAUGGGAAAUAUGAAAUAAACACAGUGUAAUGAUUUAUAGUCUUUUCUUGAACACACUAGGAAUAUUUCUUUUCUAAAAAGACACAAAUUAUAUGCUACGGUAGUAUUUUGGUUGUACUGGAUUCUAGUUUAAUUAGUUCAUAUCAAAAGAUGGCAUUUGUUUUAAAACAUGUGUAUACAUUCUGAAAGAAGAUACUUCCCCCAAAACAUUUAAAAAUACCUUGAAUAUAUUUUUAAACGAAUAUGUUAGCCUAGCAAACAAUGAAAUGAAAACCAAAUAUGAAAAUAAUGUAUCUUCUUCCUGCCCUUUAAUGAAUGAUCUGUAACUCUGAUAAAAAGAUUAGUUUAGAGACUAUUGAAUUAUUUUAAUUCUAGGACCAGACUGAAAGUAGCAUUGUACAUUUAGAAAUGCAACAUAUGAGUAGAAUUGGAUCCCUAUGUGAUUGGGAAAUAAGCUGGAGAAACUGAAGUAUGCUUAAAACACAGAGUAAUUAGCGAGCAAGCUCAGGAAAAAAAAAUCUAAGAAUACUUAGAAGUAGUGUUUGAAGAACUAGGAUCAUCACAGUUUAAUUUAUUUGUUUUGAACUUUCUCUGUCACUGAAUUGCUGUGUAUCUUUGGGCAGUCACUUAGAUCAUUUCCCCAACUAGAACAUUAGCAAGUUGACUUAGACAGCUCUUAAGUCCUUUUUUUUGAAGUGUUAUAGCUAUUUGGUUGGUGAUCAAUUAAAAAAAAGUAUUUGCCUAAGUGAGCCAAGUAGAUUUAUAAUGAGAAAGAAGGAAGUUAUUAUAAUGAGUAUUCUUUAUAAUAUUAUUUAUUCUUCUGAAAAAAUCAAGUGAUAAUAGAAACCAAAAUAUAAAAUAUCAGAAUUCGAUUUGCAUUCCUUCUAAUUACUAGCACUGUGAACAAAAACAGGUCGUUUAGGUCAUCGUUGUGAGCCCGCUGUCAGCGGCCAGCGCGGGCGCGGCCGGAGACCGUGGGGCCUGCAGUGGCCGCCCCCUCAGGAGCCACCAUGUUGGUGGCUUCCGGACUGAGCGAGGAAGAGGAGGCUCUGCAGAAGAAAUUCAACAAACUCAAGAAAAAGAAAAAGGCACUGCUGACUCUGAAGAAGCAAAGUAGCAGCAGCACAACCAGCCAAGGCGGUGUCAAAUGCUCACUAUCAGAGCAGCCUGUCGUGGACACAGCCACAGCAACAGAGCAGGCAAAGCAGCUGGUGAAGUCAGGAGCCAUCAGUGCCAUCAAGGCUGAGACCAAGAACUCAGGCUUCAAGCGUUCUCGAACCCUUGAGGGGAAGUUAAAGGACCCCGAGAAGGGACCAGUCCCCACUUUCCAGCCGUUCCAGAGGAGCGUAUCUGCUGAUGAUGACCUGUGAGAGUCAUCCAGACGUCCCUAGAGGAAAUCUCUGUAUGAAAGCCUUGUGUCUUCUAGUGAUCGACUUUGAGAACUAGGGCCAGAUGGAGAAGAGGCAGAGGGCCCAGGGGCUGGUGAUGGUCCCCUCGAAGCUUUGACUGGGGCUCUGAAGAACGCAGUGGUGGCCACUCCUCAGCCUCCCCUCCCCGAAGCCGCAACCAUGAGAGGAACCGGGACAGAGACCAAGAUCGAGAUAGAGACCGAGGGCAGGACAGGGAUCGGGAUCGGGAUGGAGAUCGAGACCGGGAACGGGACAGGGAUCGGGAUCGGGAUCGAGAUCGAGACCGGGAACCGGACAGGGAUUGGGAUCCGGAGCGGCAUUGAGACCGAGACCGAGAGGGUCCUUUCCGCAGGUCGGACUCAUUCCUUGAACCGCGAGCCCCUAGGAAAGGGAAUACUCUAUGUAUAUGGAGAAGACUUGAUGCCUGCCCUUCUCUGUGGGGCCUUCUCUCCUUUUGGAAACAUCAUUGACCUCUCCAUGGACUCACCCAGAAACUGUGCCUUCGUCACCUAUGAAAAGAUGGAGUCAGCAGAUCAGGCGGUUGCUGAGCUCAACGGGACCCUGGUGGAGUCUGUACAGCUCAAAGCCAACAUAGCCGGGAAACAGCCCAUGCUGGAUGCCGCUACUGGCAAGUCUGUCUGGGGCUCCCUUGCUGUCCAGAACAGCCCUAAGGGUUGCCACCGGGACAAGAGGACCCAGAUUGUCUAGAGUGAUGACGUCUACAAGGAAAACCUUGUGGAUGGCUUCUAGGGAACAGAGCUGGAUUCCUUGUGUCUCAUAUGCCCCAAUGCUGGUCUCAGUAAAACACUGACAUGGAAGCUUAAAAAAAAAAAAAA